CCGCACCACGGCUCCGCGCCGCCCUCCGCCGGCCCGCCGCCGCCCAGCCCGCACCACCAUCAUCACCACCAGAGCGGUAACGCGAUGCCCACGACGCUGCACACGCCGGCGCCCACGCCCGACCCGCACGCGCCGCCCACGCCCGCGCCGCCCUCCGCGCCGCCGCCCAAGCAGGAGUCUCCAUCAGCGGGCACCUGCGUGCCUCACCCGGGCGGCGGCGAGUGCGCGGCCGAGCUGUCGCGGCGG